AAUCAAUUUGCCUCCUCUAAAUAGAUGUGAUGCGUGGAGCCCGAGCGCUCAAAUGAAUAAGAACGAUUUUCUGCGUUUAAUGAUGUUGUUUUUUUUGUUUGUGCAUUUCUUUUGCCUCUGCUUGAUGAAGGUUCUAGAUGAUCGGGCGCAUAAAGAAAGAAAGAUAUCAGAUAACAAGGCAGUGUGGAGGCACGGUGCAUGGUGUCUCCUCACUAUGUGAUGCAGCCACCGAGAACGAAAUGACAGGCCGUGGUGGAGCACGGGGACAGAAUCAAGGGAAUCAACAAAGGCCGUCAACAGCGAAGGGUGGAAGAAAAGUGGAAAAAGAAACAGCACAAAGGAGAGGGAUAACUGUAAGGAGAGCAGUCAAGGAGGAGAAAAUGAGGCGGGACUAAGAAGAAAGUAGCUCAGAGAGAGUGAAGGCCAGCGACAGGUUGGAAAGGAGCAGAUAAGCUGAGAGGAACGCUCAGAGGAGGGAAGGAGCGGAGCGAAACAGCGGGCAUUAAAAGAGAAGAGGUGUGAAAUUGAAACCAAUAAAUCCAGAACAGAUUCCUACAGUCGUGGGAGCCACAGUGACCGUAACACACGGCCUCGCCGGUGUUCUCUUUUUAAUUUGAGCCGGGCCUAUUGUUGUCGGAGCAGACUUCAACUUGUCAAACAUUUGUGUUCAGUGACACCAGGUUUAACGUCUCAACUGAGUUCUGAGUGCCUUUAAAAUUACUUUUCAACAAAAAAAGCAACAUGUUGCAUCAUAGCAGUGAAAAAAAUACUGCUAUAAAACUUUUUAUUUCUUGUCAGGAUGUAAUGUUUAUCACAAUUUACAGUCCCGUGAACAAGUAUUUGCCCCCUUUGUAAUUUCUUAGUUAUUUGCACAUUUGUCAAACUUAAAAAUGUCAUAUUAUCAAACAAAUUGUAAGAUUACACACAGAUAAUGCGAAGAAAUAAUACCCUUAUUUUUAAUGGAUGAUUUCUCUUAUUAAGGGGAAAAAAGGCUCCAUGUCAGUGUUUAGGCUUCCUGUUUUAUUUUGAUAGUCUCUCAGCUCAUGUGCGUUGUGUUCCCCUCUUGGUUGUUAAUUGGUUCUGUUCACCUCCACCUUGUUUUCCCCAACUGUGUCUCUUUCCCUGAUUACCUCACGUGUAUUUAAUCCCUCAGUUUUUAUUGGCACUAUGUUGUAUUGUACUGUUUGUCCUGCUUGUCUGCCUGAGUGUUCUCCUCAUAUGUUUCCUGGUUUCUUUUACCACCUGGACUUGCUG
rnacentral:lncRNA from 1 species